AAAGGUUAGCUGUCUUUUUGUGAAUUCAAUCAGCAACGGAGAUCUGCCAGAAGUCAAGACACGAACAAAAUUGGAGAUUUCAAGGAGGAACUGAAAAGGGCACUGGCAGCCAAGAGGGAAAAACUAGCAGCCGCAGCCGAGUGGAGAAUGGCUGCAGCUGCAGCCCUUAGUGCUCAAGGCAAUGGCACCACUCGACAACCCAAAACUGGGGAAGCUGAUGAAAUUAACUGCUCUUGUUGUAAUGUGUCUCUAGCCGAUGGAAAGGGUUGGAGAGAAACUUGACAUAUAUUUUGUGGUUUCCACUGGAGACAACUUUUAUGACAAUGGAUUGAGCAGCGAACACGAUUCGGCAUUUGAGUCAUUUACCGAAAUCUAUAUGCAAUAGAGUCUGCUAAAGCAGUAAGUUCCCAAUAAAACUAAAAGGCUUCGUUUGUAGCUUUGUUUUAAACUCCAUCAUUUGACAUUAGUAAAGGUAGCUUUGUUUACUUAACUAGUUUUCAAUUUCUAUAAAGUUUUAGGCAACCAUGAUUACAUGGGUGAUGCAGAGGCUGACUCGGCCUCUUGCUAAGGAAGAUUGACAGCAGAUGGCUUUGCUUAAGAUCUUUUGUACUUGAACAUAUACUUGGAAUCCCAAAUUUUGUUUUUCUUUGUUCAGUUUUUGUUUUUGUUCCUGCUGUGAGUAAAGCUUUUGUUUUCAGGGAACAAAACCCAUCAAAGAUCUCUCCUCCUCUGCCUGAAAAUAUCAGCACAAUUAUGUACACAAGUGGUACCUGUGGAGCUCCUAAAGGUGUUGUGAUAACACAUGAAAAUAUUGCAUUUGGGGUCAGAGGCAUUGACCUCUUAAUGGAACCAUUAGAAGAUUGACAAGGUGUGGUACUUUCUUAUGGUAUUGUUGGUAGAAGAGAAAAGGGGAGCAGGGGUAGAAGCUCGAGAGCUUUAGAAAGAUGUUGAAGUGUGGCUGGUCGGGAGAGCACUUUAGAGCACUAGAUUAUCUGGUAUUUUCAGAUUAUGUGGAUUUAACCUGUAGAGUUAAUGGUUUGAUUGAUCGAUGUAAUGAGAUCUGGAUACUUGAACAUUUUCAAAUGAAAUUAAUUAUAAUGAUAAUUUGAUUGAAA